rnacentral:tRNA from 2 species
CAAAGAAUAUUUUAAUAAAAAUAAUAAUUUUGGAGAUUAUAGAUAAAGAAAUUCUUUUUCUUUGA